rnacentral:rRNA from 1 species
CCUACGGGUGGCUGCAGUCGAGAAUCAUUCACAAUGGGGGAAACCCUGAUGGUGCGACGCCGCGUGGGGGAAUGAAGGUCUUCGGAUUGUAAACCCCUGUCAUGUGGGAGCAAAUUAAAAAGAUAGUACCACAAGAGGAAGAGACGGCUAACUCUGUGCCAGCAGCCGCGGUAAUACAGAGGUCUCAAGCGUUGUUCGGAAUCACUGGGCGGAAAGCGUGCGUAGGCUGUUUCGUAAGUCGGGUGUGAAAGGCGCGGGCUCAACCCACGGACGGAACAUGAUACUGCGAGCCUAGAGGAAUGGAGGGGGAACCGGAAUUCUCGGUGUAGCAGUGAAAUGCGUAGAUAUCGGGAGGAACACUAGUGGCGAAGGCGGGUUCCUGGACAUUAACUGACGCUGAGGCACGAAGGCCAGGGGAGCGAAAGGGAUUAGAUACCCUUGUAGUC